AACAGACAAAGACGCGGAGGUGCCCCCGUCAGACCCCGGGCCGCAUCAGCUCUACAGGACUUUGGCCGGGAAGGGGCCACAGGAGGAUCUGGAGGACAGAGAACCGACGUCUGGAGGGAGACCCAGGAAGCCUGCUUAAAAGCAGUUGAGUUGACAAGUCAGAAGAGAAGACGAGUCAGGCAGCAGCCAAGUCUCCCUGGCAGCUCCUGAGGGGCUCGCAGCCGCACGGCUGUCUAUACCUGAGGCUGGGGCACAGCUUGGCCGGUACUCUGCUUCAGGAUCUCACCAGGCUGCAAUCCACGGGCCGACUGGGCUGCACUCUCAUCUGAAGGUCUGACUGGAGAAAGAUCUACUUCCAAGCUCUCAGAGUUGUUGACAGAGUUCAUUUUCUUGAAACGGCAGGAGUCACAGUAGCUGGCUGGUUUGAAGUCAGCAAGGAGAACAACACCCUACAGGGGAAUCUGCUGGCAAGACAGAGUUCUAUGUGAUGUAACACCGUCACAGUGGCAUCCAUCCCCUUUGCCAUGUUUCGUUGGUAGGAAGAGGUCCCGCCUGUAUUCAAGGGGGAGGAUAUUACAUGAAGGCAUGAGCGCCAGGAGGUGGGGGUGGUGGGACUUCCUUCAAGCCUGUCCCCACACACUUGUAGCCUUUGCCCACCGGUGCUCCCUCCCCUGGCUCUGACAAGUCCCGCCUACCCUCCAAACCACAGCUCAGAUGUGUCCCGCUUCCCUUGGGAGGCCUCCCGGAAUGCCUCUUGCUCCUUCCACAUGCUGCUGCCCUCCUCUCCCCGCCUGGACCGCAGCGGUCACUGUGAGGUAUUGAACCCUCACCCCUGAUUUGCAAGCCUCUUUCCCUCCAGGUGGGAACCAGAACUCCCCACUUUUGCAUCCUUGGCGCCCAAUGCAUCGUGGGUGCUCAGCAAGUAUUUAUAAGGAAACAAACUGAUGAAUGGAGCGAUGGGCUUCGAGCCCCGAGUCUAUUCAGGAACUUGAGCGCAACUUCGGGCCUCAUUCCAUCAUACCUCUCCAUUUUCUCAAUAACCCAAGACCGAAACCAAAUUAGCACUGUGCAUAUUCCUGUUGGAACCAAUUCGGUUUAAAGGACCAGCUCCCCCUAGGACAGAUGGAUGAUAACACACAGCAUUUUAAUCAGGUUUUUUUAAUUUUCCAAAGCACUAUCAUAUUCAAUAUUCCCACUAAUUCCUUCCAUAUCCAAUUGGGCUUGGUCUCCUUACAUACACCAUAAGUAACUGGGGUUUGGAGAGAUGAGCUAAUUUGCUUAAAACUCUGCAGACCGGGGCACCGGGUGGCUCAGUCGGUUGAGCGUCUGACU